CCGUACGCGUCUGCCUCCUCGCAUCGCCUCGACCCUGGCCUCUGCGUAGGCCGAGCUAACCCUAGCUGCCGCCGCACCACUCGCCGCCGCGGCCGACCUCAACCCACCCGCCGCCCCGGCCGACCUCAACCCGCCCGCCGCCCCGGCCACACCUCUUCCCGCUCGCCGCCCCCACCGCGGCGCUCGAGCGCAGCUUCUGGAUCAGGUCAACGCGGCGGCUCGACAGGCUGGGGACGAUGCGUCUGCUCGAAGCAAAACGGCGGCGGCGGGAUCCAGCAGGCGCGGGAGAAGGAGAGAUCCGGCGCGGCGGCGCGAAGUCCUUGCAAGUGGAGGCGGGCCUCCAUGGCUGGCAGGGAGAGCUCCAAGGUCAUGGCGGUGAUUCGAUUUUUCUGGUAAAGAGAGACAGAGGAGGAUCCAGGAUGGAGGAGAGGUAGGAGAAGAAGGACGAGGAAGAUGGAAGGGUGCGGCAGGGGUGCAGCGGUGCGAGGGCACUGGUGCGCGUGAGGAGCGCCUCUCCUCGGGAGGAUCAGGGAGGAGCGAGUGAAACUCAAAUCGACUUCAGAGCAAGGUACUGGUGUAGAACUACGAAGAAGCAACACGUACUAGCCGGCAACAACGAUGAAGGAAGCCAACCAGAUGUGCACAAAACUACACUACAUCAUGCCUAAUUGAAUCCUCCGGUACGUGUUCCAUUGGCUAAUAGACCAUGCUAGCUAGCUAGCAACCAUGUAAAUUCCCCACGCUUGAUUGAUUCCUUUGGGACUUUAUUAACUUCUAUAUGUUCUUCCCAUGAUUAUCUAGAUAAUGCUAACUGUUGAUAUUUCUUUCACGCAUACAUGCUUUUGCUUGGAGUUUUUCCACUGGCGACGUCUGAACUCUGAAUAUUAUGAACUUAAGGAUAAAUCUUAUAGCAGAUCAAAAUCAUGGUCCACGCAAAAAGAAGAGACCAGAAUCAUGGUUGUGCUGAUUCCAUAGGGGCCUCAUGAUAGUUUGUGUUCUUUUAUUCAAAUGAAAAAAUCAAGAUUAUUAUUGUAACUGUUACAGUUGUACUAGCAGGAUUAUCCUAGAAGCUGUGCCAAUUUUUCCAUCAAUUGAUAACGCUGUAAGGUAGUGAGUCAUCUUUGUAGACUUUACCAUGCCUAGAUUGGUUGACUUGGAUCACGUGUAUGUCUUACAAUUUUAGACAAUUCUCACUUGCUAUGCUAAGCUUGAAUUUGAAGAUACAAGUUGAGGUGUGUCUUGGGACAGUGUGACUAAAAACCGAACCUUCAGUUUAUGCAAUCAGAAGAAAAGUGAAUGAUUUUUCAAUGAAAACAGAAUACUUCUGAGCAUAAGGAUGAAAAAGUGCAGCAACCGACUUGGCUUAUUGUUUUGGAAAUUGCAACCGGUGCUCUCCUUCUUGUUUUUGUGAUCACUGGUGCUGUUACUGCCUCCAGAAGCUUCAAUCUAAAGCCUUCUAUAAGAAUAUCAUCAUGGAGUAGAUCAAAAAGUUGGAGCAACGAGAUAACAGUACUGAUUGGUUGGUAUUAACUAUAUAAAAUAAAUUGAUUAUUUUGUCUAACAUACAUUGUUGCUAAUUUGUUCAUGCUUUCCUCAGAUUCUGAUAUGCUGAAAAGUUUGCCAAAGUUGAGUCACUAGGAACUUGAAGUAGUGUGUUAGGAUUUUAGCAACAUAAUUGGCUCAACUCUGGAGACUAUAGUCUACAAAGAAACAAUGAAGGAUGGACCUGAGGUUUCUGUCAUAUCAUUAUGCGCCUUUGAAGGUCAUUGGACUAGCCAGCAUGAGCUCUUUUACCAAAACAAGGUUAUUGAUCUGGCAUGGUUGAAUCAUGAGAACAUAGCAAAGUUUCUGGGCUAUUGCAGAGAGAGUGACCCAUUCUCGAGGAUGUUAAUCUUUGAGUAAAAAUCAAAUGGGACCCUGUACGAGCACCCACACUCGGCCCAAUUCUCUUGGCUCAGAUGAAUGAAAAUAGCCAUCGACAUCGCCCAAGGUUUAAGGCUGGCGACGUCGUCUAUUGAAGCCCCACCGGUGACACGACGGGACAGCUCCGACUUGUACGUGGGUGUGGGAAUGCAGAUCCGCGUUGCCAGCUUACACAAGGCCAUGCUCAACGCGCCGACGCAGGGUUUAUCGCCCGUCUUUGUCAGAUAAGCAAAGCAAUCCACCUUCCUCUUUCUCAUCAGAUCCAUUUUAUUGUGAUAUUGCAUUUAAGUCAAUCAAUUUUUAUGAUUCUUUCAGUGUUAAAGAAAAUGGAAUUUACCUGAAUAAAUUGCGUGUAUAGAUAUGUAGAGGAUGAACUCAACAAGUGGAUCUUUCAAGGUUAAUUAGCUUUGCACAUUUUAUAAAAUAGAUGCAAUGGCAUAGCACCUUCAGUAUCAUGCUUGCACUCACAUGUUGUUCCAACAGCACUAUGAAUGCUGCCCAGAAUUGCCAUGCCUUCAGCUUUCGCUAUAAGUUCCUAUGAUGCUCCUUUUCAGGUGACUUUUCAUGUGAUUUCGACUUCUAAAAAUUAGAAAGUACCUUCAGAUCAAAGCAGUGGAUUUGUAGAUUUUCUGGGUAUUGGUGCUACUCCAUCUCCAUUUGGCUUACGGUCUUUGGUCACUGAUUCUGAGGUACGACGUUGUUUUACUUUUAUGUUAAAUCCCAUUUAGCUUGGCACCUCCAUUUAUUGGUUCGGACCGAGCAAAGAUCCUGUCAAGCAAUAUCACUGACUGGAAGCAUAAAUUUUCAAAUCAGUGAUGAGAUAAAUCUUGUGUACCGAUGCUUAGCAGCUAGCGAAGUGCGGCUGGUAUUUUUGGUCUGUAUGUAGGUAGCUUCCUGAUGUGUGUGGUUGUGUGUUCAUUCACGACCUGAACUUAUUUCUGUUGGCUUCAUUUUAGUAAAGAUGGGGUGGGGAAAAAAACAACACCCUAUAUAUGUAAGUUGACUGAAAAUAAUAAUAUGUUUCAGUAGCUAUAUUUCUCUGUUUCCUAACAUGGUUGUAGGCUAGAUGUUCGUGUUGGUUUGUCUUGCUGUAGAACUUGCCCCUAUUCAUUUGUUACACAUUUUGUGUAGCUAUCAAGGAAGAAAGUAAUGGACAUUCACAGGUCAGAGUCUCCCCAUCAGCAUUUGAUGGCAGGGGCCGGCUGCUUUACAGAAGAUGGAUGUGAAACCAAAAUCAUAUUAUACCAACUUUUAUUUAAUGCAUAUUAUCAUUUAGCAAUACGUUGGCUGUGCGUCCCCGUGAUCAAUGGAGAUCUUCUGUAGAUGUAUUGGAGUUUUGUCAUGCGUUAAACUUCUCAAUGGUUGACCAUGGAAAAUCUGUGUAGUUCUUAUUUUGUACAUAUGCUUCUGGUUUCAAGGAGAAUUCUUACUCCUUUUGGAAUUACCAUCUUUAAACAUUGUA